rnacentral:sRNA from 1 species
UCGUGAUUUCUCAGCCUUGGUGGAUAC